UAGGGAAUCUUCCACAAUGGACGCAAGUCUGAUGGAGCAACGCCGCGUGAGUGAAGAAGGUCUUCGGAUCGUAAAACUCUGUUGUUAGAGAAGAACACGAGUGAGAGUAACUGUUCAUUCGAUGACGGUAUCUAACCAGCAAGUCACGGCUAACUACGUGCCAGCAGCCGCGGUAAUACGUAGGUGGCAAGCGUUGUCCGGAUUUAUUGGGCGUAAAGCGAGCGCAGGCGGUUUGAUAAGUCUGAAGUUAAAGGCUGUGGCUCAACCAUAGUUCGCUUUGGAAACUGUCAAACUUGAGUGCAGAAGGGGAGAGUGGAAUUCCAUGUGUAGCGGUGAAAUGCGUAGAUAUAUGGAGGAACACCGGUGGCGAAAGCGGCUCUCUGGUCUGUAACUGACGCUGAGGCUCGAAAGCGUGGGGAGCGAACAGGAUUAGAUACCCUGGUAGUCCACGCCGUAAACGAUGAGUGCUAGGUGUUGGAUCCUUUCCGGGAUUCAGUGCCGCAGCUAACGCAUUAAGCACUCCGCCUGGGGAGUACGACCGCAAGGUUG
rnacentral:rRNA from 1 species